CCUACUGGGGACAUCAUUGGGGCAUCUUGCACAAUGGGGGAAACCCUGAUGCAGCAACGCCGCGUGAGUUCCUCCUUCUUUCUUUCUUUCCCUCUCUCUCCUCCUUUCCUCUCAUUACGUUACCUGACUAAGAAGCCCCGGCUAACUACGUGCCAGCAGCCGCGGUAAUACGUAGGGGUCAAUCGUUAUCCGGAUUUACUGGGGGUAAAGGGAGCGUAGACGGCUGUACAAGUCUGAAGUGAAAGCCCGUGGCUCAACCGCGGAACUGCUUUGGAAACUGUAAAGCUGGAGUACUGGAGAGGCAGGCGGAAUUCCUAGUGUAGCGGUGAAAUGCGUAGAUAUUAGGAGGAACACCAGUGGCGAAGGCGGCCUGCUGGACAGAAACUGACGUUGAGGCUCGAAAGCGUGGGGAGCAAACAGGAUUAGAGAAAAUAGUAGUC
rnacentral:rRNA from 1 species